GUUCAAAGGGUUUAUUCCCUUGGUUGCUGCUACUGUCACGUGAAGGAAAAGAAUAGAAUUAUCUAGAUUGAGAAUUGAAUUGCUUCUGUAACGUUAGCAAGAGAUGAAGAGAAAUUAGAAUUCCUUGGAAACCUAAGGAAUUAAUGAAUGGUACCGUUGAGUUGAAAAGUACCGUUGGAGAGAAGACUAGAAUUCUCUAUAAAUAGAGAAUUGGUGAAGCACAUCAGAUAUACAAGAGAUAGAGACACAGUAAGCGAGAGAGAGAGAGAGAAAAGAAGCCUCGCAAGAAAAACAAAAAGGGAACGAAACAGUGAGUGACAGAGAGAAGAAGACUGGUUCAUUGGCAGAAGAGUGAUACAGCAAAGGUGCUCUGAUUUGAGUGAAAUUACAGUGUGUGAAUCCUGUCAAUGUGCUGGUAAUAUUAGUUUCUUCUGGUGUUUUGCCUUCUCUUUGUACUGUUUCAGUGUGCCCUUUGGGGUAAGAUUUACUCUGUUGUUAUCCACCUUACUGGUGAAGAUUGUAAUUGUUCUGUUGAUCCCUGGUGGUUUCAGGAAGACUUGUGGUGUAUCUCAUUAAUUUAUUAGUGGAGAAUUUUACUGGCUUGGUCCCGUGGGGUUUUUACCUCUUUGAGGGUUUCCCCACGUUAAAAUAAUUCUGGUGUCUCUUGCAUUUUAUCUGUUCUGUUCUGUGUUUACUAAUUGUUGCCUGAGUUGUUUGUCUGUAGCCUAUUUUAAUUGCACGCAGGGGAAAAGUCGAUCCAGUUGCUUCCGCUAAUUGUUGUCGGGGUUUAUAUUGUUUGUCAUCUUUCCCCAACAGAUCUAAUGUUUCUUCUCACUCUCAUCUCAACCACACAUCUCUCCUCUCCCAUCGUUCUUCGCAACUUUUCUUCAUUAUUUUAGGCAAGUUCCAGAUCAUUCCUUCUAAUCCAACCUCAUCUUUUUCCUAUUCGAGAGCCCCUUUUCUUUUGUUCCUUGGCCUAGUGCCUCCUGUGUGCCCAAAACUCCAGUGUUGAUCUCUCCAAAGCAUGGUAAAGGCUUGCAGAACCCAUUACAAUACUUGGAGGUUGUCAGGUAACUUUUCAUACAUACUUGGGUCCAAUGAAGUGGUCCCAAUUAUGUAUGAAAAGUUAUCCUGACAAUUAUUCCCUCCUGACCUCCGGAAGUAUAUUCCUCUUUAUCUAUUAACAAAUAUUGGUGAGUGAUAAGCUUCCUUAGUAGCUCCAGCAUUUCUUAGCAGGUGGCAUGAAUGUUUCCCUUUCAAGUCCUUAAGGCCAUGUUCUUGGAAUAUGAUGCUUUUUUUUCUUCAUACAUAUAUGAAGGGUCUUCCACAGCACAAAGCAGCACCAACAUACUUAUCCGCGCUUUCUAGAAAAUACGAUACAUACUUCAUUUUUUCAAGAUCAUGCUAUAUUAAGUCCAACAAAUGAGACUUGUAAUGUGAUGAAUGUUAUACUUUGUAUUGUUACAUAUUCUUAUUCAUGCCAAAGGCCAUUAGCAUGUCCUUUAUUACAUUUAUACA